rnacentral:rRNA from 1 species
CGUAGGGACCAAGCGUUGUUCGGAUUUACUGGGCGUAAAGGGCGCGUAGGCGGCAAAUUAAGUCAUCUGUGAAAUCUCCGAGCUUAACUCGGAACGGUCAGGUGAUACUGAUCUGCUAGAGUGCGGAAGGGGCAAUCGGAAUUCUUGGUGUAGCGGUGAAAUGCGUAGAUAUCAAGAGGAACACCUGAGGUGAAGACGGGUUGCUGGGCCGACACUGACGCUGACAGCGCGAAAGCCAGGGGAGCAAACGGGAUUAGAUACCCCGGUAGUCCUGGCCUUAAACGAUGAAUACUUGGUGUCUGGAGUCUCUAUAGCUCCGGGUGCCGUCGCUAACGUUUUUAGUAUUCCGCCUGGGGAGUACGCACGCAAGUGUG